GCAUUACUGAGGAGUCUCAUAAUAGAACGAAACGAUUGUCCAGUGC
rnacentral:hammerhead_ribozyme from 1 species